rnacentral:rRNA from 1 species
GACAGAGGGGCCAAGCGUUAGGCGGAAUCACUGGGCUUAAAGCGUGUGUAGGCGGGUUCUUAAGGCCCUUGUGAAAUCCCCCGGCUCAACCGGGGAACGGCUGGGUAUACUGGGUGCCUUGGGUCAUCUAGGGGCUGCCGGAACAAAUGGUGGAGCGGUGAAAUGCGUAGAUAUCAUGUGGAACGCCAACGGCGAAAGCAGGCAGCUGGGGAUGCACCGACGCUGAGACACGAAAGCCAGGGGAGCGAACGGG